UCACUGCAAGCUCCGCCUUCCGGGUUCACGCCAUUCUCCUGCCUCAGCCUCCCGAGUAGCUGGGACUACAGGCGCCCGCCACUGCGCCCGGCUAAUUUUUUGUAUUUUUAGUAGAGAGGGGGUUUCACCGUGGUCUCGAUCUCCUGACCUCGUGAUCCGCCCGCCUCAGCCUCCCAAAGUGCUGGGAUUACAGGCGUGAGCCACCGCGCCCGGCCAGUUCAAUGGAUUUUAAAAAUUAUUAUUCUCUAGAAAAAAGACCACGAACUUUGGAGUGGACAUCCUGAGACCUGCCUACGAAGACCAUUAGGUGGCCUCCAGAAGACACUCCCCUGAUUCCUACACCGAGGGAACACACAGCAGCAAGCUAGGAAAGAAGGGGUGACCCAGCCCAACGCUGUAAACCAGGGCGCGAACCGGCGUUGAGCUGUGCAGCUGCGCCCUGGGCUCCAGUCCUGCUCUGCCGCAGACCCCACCGGAGCCAGCACCUGCCUCCCCGACCCUCGCUGGGGCGGCUGUGAGAUGAGCCCAGAGCCUUCCUGAGCCAACCCUCGCAAGGAAAGUCUGUCUGUUCACCCCACUAUCCUUGUCUUGAAGGAUGAAGAAAAGAGGGCCCCCCGGGAGGUCCCAAAAGGUGGAAUGGACAUCUGGGAUCCAAGCACAGCAAUUUCUUUAUUUUUCUUAAGCCUCUCACUAGAGGAUGAAAAUCGUUCUGCAUAAAGGCCUGGGCUUUAUGAAAAAUAUAUUCACACCUCCCGUGUCCGAGCUGGGAUACCAAAGAAGUUCCUGGUUGAGUACUACUUAUGAAUGAAGGAUUCAGGGGAUGCACAGGACACAGAGGAAUCUGGGGGAUAUUAUGGUUCUGGGAAUGUGGAAUGUAACGUCUCAUCUUCAGCCCAUCUGUGCUACUGAUCAUCUCAUUCCAGAAGCCAUGCCUUCUCUCAGGAGCAGACAGCACAAGACUUUCCUGCCAGAGGCACAGUCCCCAGUGGGAGUAGCAUCCACAUAAGACAGGAUGCAGAGAUGUCUUCAAGCAGCUUCAAACAAAACUUCAAGAAAGAAAGUGCAAGUGAAAAAGGAAAUUCAUCCUUCCAGUCACUUAACACAGCACUGUCACGGACACCUUGUGCCUCCUUAAAAUUCGUAUACUGAAGUUCUAAGCCCCAGUACCCCAGAAUGUGACCUUCUUUGGAAAUAGGGUCAUUGCAGAUAUGAUUAGUUAAGAGGAGAUCAUACUGGAGUGGGCUUUAAUCCAAUAUGACUGGUGUCCUUAUGUAAAGGGGAAAUUUGGACACAGACACACACAAGGAGAACACCAUGUGAACUGAAGUCAAAGAUUUGGGUGAUGCUUCUACAAGCCAAGAAAUGCCAAAGAUGACCAGCAAAGCACCGGCAGCUGGUGGAGGAGCCUGGACCAGAUUCUUCCUCACAGCCCUCAAAAGGAACCAAUCUUGCCAAAGCUUUGACUUAGACUUCUAGCCCCCUGUGAUGGUUAAUGUUAAGUGGCAGCUUGACUGGGUUAAGGGAUGCCCAGAUAGCUGGUAAGACAGUAUGUCUGUGUGCAUCUCUCAGAGUGUUUCUGGACAAGAUCAGCAUUUGAAUCCUUAGAGUAAAGAAGAUCUGCCCUCACCCACGUGCAUCACCCUAUCUCUGGAGAGCGCGAACAAACAGGAGGAAGGGCACAUAUGCUCCUUCUGUUCCAGCUGGCACAUCCAUCUUCUCCUGCCCCCUGACUUCAGAGCUCCUGGUUCUCGGGCCUCAGGAUUCCAGCACUUACAUGAGAGCGUGCUUCCCCCUCCCUACUCCACCCCUAGGUUCUCCGCCCUUUGGCCUCUGACUGAAUUCCACCACCAGCUUUUCAGGGUCUCCAGCUUGCAGACGGCAGAUCGUGGGACUUCUUGGCCUCCAUAAUUAUGUAAGCCAAUUCCCAUAAUAAAUCUCCUAUCUAUCUAUCUAUCUAUCCAUCUAUCAAUCAUCUAUCUAGUCUAUCUAUCUAUCUAUCUCUAUCCUAUUGAUUCUGUGUCUCUGAGGAACCCUAAUACACCUCCAGAACUGUGAGAUGAUACAUUUCUGUGGUUUAAGCCACUCAGAAGGUGGUACUUUGUUUCACCAGGCCUAGCAAACUAAUACAAGUGCAUGGAAGGUGACUACUCAUGACUGCAACUUAGAGAACAAGGGUUAUAAUAAAAAUAAAAGUGUUAUACAAAGGUGGCAAGAUAAAUGACAAUAAAUGAAAAUAUUAACAUGUGAAUUAAAAAGUAAAGAUAUUUUUCCUAGCAUUCUCCCAGAAAGUAGAGACGCGUCUCUCUUGUUUGCCAUCAUAUCCAGCAAUGGCAAGAUAAGUUCUAGGCACUUCAUAAAAAUUUGUUGAAUGAAA
rnacentral:lncRNA from 10 species